rnacentral:rRNA from 1 species
GACGUAGGGCGCGAGCGUUGUCCGGAUUUAUUGGGCGUAAAGAGCUCGUAGGCGGCUUGUUGCGUCGGCUGUGAAAACCCGUGGCUUAACUGCGGGCUUGCAGCUGAUACGGGCGGGCUAGAGUUCGGUAGGGGAGACUGGAAUUCCUGGUGUAGCGGUGAAAUGCGCAGAUAUCAGGAGGAACACCGGUGGCGAAGGCGGCGUUCUGGACCAACACUGACACUGAGGAGCGAAAGCCAGGGGAGCAAACGGG